UGGGGAAUAUUGCACAAUGGGCGCAAGCCUGAUGCAGCCAUGCCGCGUGUGUGAAGAAGGCCUUCGGGUUGUAAAGCACUUUCAGCGAGGAGGAAGGUGGUGAGCUUAAUACGCUCAUCAAUUGACGUUACUCGCAGAAGAAGCACCGGCUAACUCCGUGCCAGCAGCCGCGGUAAUACGGAGGGUGCAAGCGUUAAUCGGAAUUACUGGGCGUAAAGCGCACGCAGGCGGUUUGUUAAGUCAGAUGUGAAAUCCCCGGGCUCAACCUGGGAACUGCAUUUGAAACUGGCAAGCUAGAGUCUCGUAGAGGGGGGUAGAAUUCCAGGUGUAGCGGUGAAAUGCGUAGAGAUCUGGAGGAAUACCGGUGGCGAAGGCGGCCCCCUGGACGAAGACUGACGCUCAGGUGCGAAAGCGUGGGGAGCAAACAGAUUAGAUACCCUGGUAGUCCACGCUGUAAAACGAUGUCGAUUUUGGAGGUUGUGCCCUUGAGGCGUGGNUUCCGGAGCUAACG
rnacentral:rRNA from 1 species